rnacentral:rRNA from 1 species
GAUGAACGCUAGCGACAGGCCUAACACAUGCAAGUCGAGGGCAGCGCGGAGCAAGCUUGCUUGUUCUGGCGGCGACCGGCGCACGGUGCGUAACAGGUGUGCAAUCUGUCCAUAAUCGGGGAAUAGCCCAGCGAAAGUUGGAUUAAUGCUCCAUGUGAGCUUGAGGGGCAUCUCUCGGGUUUGAAACGUUGAGGAUUAUGGGUGAGCACGCUUCUGAUUAGGUAGUUGGUGAGGUAACGGCUCACCAAGCCGACGAUCAGUAGGGUUCUGAGAGGAAGGUCCCCCANAUUGGAACUGAGACACGGU